UACGUAGGGUCCGAGCGUUGUCCGGAAUUAUUGGGCGUAAAGGGCUCGUAGGCGGUUCGUCACGUCGGGAGUGAAAACUCGGAGCUUAACUCCGAGCCUGCUUCCGAUACGGGCAGACUAGAGGUAGGCAGGGGAGAGCGGAACUCCUGGUGUAGCGGUGGAAUGCGCAGAUAUCAAGAGGAACACCUGAGGUGAAGACGGGUUGCUGGGCCAACACUGACGCUGAUGCGCGAAAGCCAGGGGAGCAAACGGG
rnacentral:rRNA from 1 species